rnacentral:rRNA from 1 species
CAGUCGCCGCGGUAAUACGAAGGGUGCAAGCGUUACUCGGAAUUACUGGGCGUAAAGCGUGCGUAGGUGGUGGUUUAAGUCCGUUGUGAAAGCCCUGGGCUCAACCUGGGAAUUGCAGUGGAUACUGGAUAACUAGAGUGUGGUAGAGGGUAGUGGAAUUUCCGGUGUAGCAGUGAAAUGCGUAGAGAUCGGAAGGAACAUCUAUGGCGAAGGCAACUAUCUGGACCAACACUGACACUGAGGCACGAAAGCGUGGGGAGCAAACAGGAUUAGAUACCCGAGUAGUCCCUGUCUCUUAUAC